UGGGGAAUUUUGGACAAUGGGGGAAACCCUGAUCCAGCCAUCCCGCGUGUGCGAUGAAGGCCUUCGGGUUGUAAAGCACUUUUGGCAGGAAAGAAACGUCGCGGGUUAAUACCCCGCGAAACUGACGGUACCUGCAGAAUAAGCACCGGCUAACUACGUGCCAGCAGCCGCGGUAAUACGUAGGGUGCAAGCGUUAAUCGGAAUUACUGGGCGUAAAGCGUGCGCAGGCGGUUCGGAAAGAAAGAUGUGAAAUCCCAGAGCUUAACUUUGGAACUGCAUUUUUAACUACCGGGCUAGAGUGUGUCAGAGGGAGGUGGAACUCCGCGUGUAGCAGUGAAAUGCGUAGAUAUGCGGAGGAACACCGAUGGCGAAGGCAGCCUCCUGGGAUAACACUGACGCUCAUGCACGAAAGCGUGGGGAGCAAACAGGAUUAGAUACCCUGGUAGUCCACGCCCUAAACGAUGUCAACUAGCUGUUGGGGCCUUCGGGCCUUGGUAGCGCAGCUAACGCGUGAAGUUGACCGCCUGGGGAGUACGGUCGCAAGAUUAAAACUCAAAUGAAUUGACGGGGUCGAU
rnacentral:rRNA from 1 species